AAAAAAUGGGUUGGGUGGGGUCAUUGAGUGCAAAAAAUAAAAUUUUCUUUUAAGGUAAGGUUGUUGUAUUUCAAAUGAAAGGUCGUAACGUGUACAUUUCAAAUAUCAGAUUCCUGUCCUCAAAAAAUGAGUUGGAUGGGGUAUUUAAGUGCAAAAAUAAAACUUUCUAGAACAUGGCCUUGUCGCAUAUCAAAUGAAAGAUCAUAAAGUCAAGAUUACAUAUAUCAUACUUCCGAUCUCGAAAAUUAAGGCGGAUGGGGGUCAUUAAGUGUAAAAAGCGAAAUGUUUCAGACGGUAUGCUUGUCGUAUAUCAAAUGAAAGGUCGUACAAAGUACAUUACGAAAACAUAACUUUAACAGGAAAGACCUUUCAAUUGUUUUACAAACAAUUGAGAUACUAGUUAAGGUCUUUCCACUCCGUUAGGAAAGACCUUAUUGUUUUUCUAAUGUUUUUUUUUUUCUUUUUUUUUUUAAGGUCUUUCCACUCCGUUAGGAAAGACCUUAUUGUUUUUCUAAUGUUUUUUUUUCUUUUUCUUUUUUUAAGGUCUUUCCACUCCGUUAGGAAAGACCUUAUUGUUUUUCUAAUGUUUUUUUUUUCUUUUUCUUUUUUUUCUUCCAACAUUUGUUUGACAUGCCCUACCCUCGUUUCUAUUAAAGUUAUCAAGACCAAAUUUGAACCACCGAUAGACCUCAUCAUGAAGUAUUACCAGAUGACCCUGUUAAGGAUUUCAUCAUCCCCUUUAGAAUUUAUCUCCCUUUUAUUGGUUUUUUUCGACAUGGCCCCCCC